rnacentral:rRNA from 1 species
AUUGAACGCUGGCGGCAUGCUUUACACAUGCAAGUCGAACGGCAGCGCGGGCUUCGGCCUGGCGGCGAGUGGCGAACGGGUGAGUAAUGCAUCGGAACGUGCCCAGUAGUGGGGGAUAGCCCGGCGAAAGCCGGGUUAAUACCGCAUACGACCUGAGGGUGAAAGCGGGGGACCGAAAGGCCUCGCGCUAUUGGAGCGGCCGAUGUCGGAUUAGCUAGUUGGUGGGGUAAAGGCUUACCAAGGCGACGAUCCGUAGCUGGUCUGAGAGGACGACCAGCCACACUGGGACUGAGACACGGCCCAGACUCCUACGGGAGGCAGCAGUGGGGAAUUUUGGACAAUGGGGGCAACCCUGAUCCAGCCAUGCCGCGUGCGGGAAGAAGGCCUUCGGGUUGUAAACCGCUUUUGUUCGGGAAGAAAUCCUCUGGGCUAAUACCCCGGGGGGAUGACGGAACCGGAAGAAUAAGCACCGGCUAACUACGUG